AGAGUUUGAUCCUGGCUCAGAACGAACGCUGGCGGCAGGCUUAACACAUGCAAGUCGAGCGCCCAGCAAUGGGAGCGGCGGACGGGUGAGUAGCACGUGGGAACAUGCCCUUCGGUACGGGACAACUCAGGGAAACUUGAGCUAAUACCGCAUACGCCCUAACGGGGAAAGAUUUAUCGCCGAAGGAUUGGCCCGCGUCUGAUUAGCUAGUUGGUGAGGUAACGGCUCACCAAGGCUUCGAUCAGUAGCUGGUUUGAGAGAGCGACCAGCCACACUGGGACUGAGACACGGCCCAGACUCCUACGGGAGGCAGCAGUGGGGAAUCUUGGACAAUGGGGGAAACCCUGAUCCAGCCAUGCCGCGUGAGUGAUGAAGGCCCUAGGGUUGUAAAACUCUUUCGGCGGGG
rnacentral:rRNA from 1 species